rnacentral:rRNA from 1 species
AGGAAAAGAAAUCAACCGAGAUUCCCCCAGUAGCGGCGAGCGAACGGGGAGCAGCCCAGAGCCUGAAUCAGUGUGUGUGUUAGUGGAAGCGUCUGGAAAGGCGCGCGAUACAGGGUGACAGCCCCGUACACAAAAAUGCACAUGCUGUGAGCUCGAUGAGUAGGGCGGGACACGUGGUAUCCUGUCUGAAUAUGGGGGGACCAUCCUCCAAGGCUAAAUACUCCUGACUGACCGAUAGUGAACCAGUACCGUGAGGGAAAGGCGAAAAGAACCCCGGCGAGGG